CUAAGCCGAGGCCGAAAGGCGUAGGUGAUGGACAACAGGUUGAUAUUCCUGUACCGCCAAUAAGCGUUUGAGAGAUGGAGUGACACAGUAGGAUAAGCUAACCGUACUGUUGGUUAUGUACGGCUAAGCAUUGAGGCAGUCUAAAUAGGCAAAUCCGUUUAGACAAUGCUAGGAUGUGAUGGGGAAGCCCUUCGGGGCGAAGUAGCUGAUUUCACACUGUCAAGAAAAGCUUCUAUCGAGUUUAAAGGCGCCCGUACCGUAAACCGACACAGGUGGGUGAGGAGAGUAUCCUAAGGCCAGCGAGAGAACUAUUGUUAAGGAACUCGGCAAAAUGACCCCGUAACUUAGGGAGAAGGGGUGCCUGUCUAUGACAGGCCGCAGAGAAUAGGCCCAAGCGACUGUUUACCAAAAACACAGGUUUCUGCUAAGUCGCAAGACGAUGUAUAGGAGCUGACGCCUGCCCGGUGCUGGAAGGUUAAGGGGAUCUGUUAGAGCAAUCGAAGCAGUGAACUUAAGCCCCAGUAAACGGCGGCCGUAACUAUAACGGUCCUAAGGUAGCGAAAUUCCUUGUCGGGUAAGUUCCGACCCGCACGAAAGGCGUAACGAUUUGGGCACUGUCUCAACAAUAGACUCGGUGAAAUUGUAAUCCCGGUGAAGAUGCCGGGUACCUGCGACAGGACGGAAAGACCCCAUGGAGCUUUACUGUAGCUUGACGUUGGGUCUUGGUACUACAUGUACAGGAUAGGUGGGAGACUAUGAAGCAUGGACGCCAGUCUGUGUGGAGUCAUCCUUGGGAUACCACCCUUGUAGUACUGGGAUCCUAACCAUAGGCCUUGAAUCAGGUCUUGGAACACCGUCAGGUGGGCAGUUUGACUGGGGCGGUCGCCUCCUAAAAAGUAACGGAGGCGCUCAAAGGUUUCCUCAGCACGGUCGGAAAUCGUGCGAAGAGUGUAAAGGCAAAAGGAAGCUUGAUUGCAAGACAUACAGGUCGAGCAAGGACGAAAGUCGGACUUAGUGAUCCGGUGGUUCCGCAUGGAAGGGCCAUCGCUCAACGGAUAAAAGCUACCCUGGGGAUAACAGGCUGAUCUCCCCCAAGAGUCCACAUCGACGGGGAGGUUUGGCACCUCGAUGUCGGCUCAUCACAUCCUGGGGCUGUAGUAGGUCCCAAGGGUUGGGCUGUUCGCCCAUUAAAGUGGUACGCGAGCUGGGUUCAGAACGUCGUGAGACAGUUCGGUCCCUAUCCGUCGCAGGCGUAGGAAAUUUGAGAAGACCUGUCCUUAGUACGAGAGGACCGGGAUGGACGUACCUCUGGUGUACCAGUUGUUCUGCCAAGGGCAUGGCUGGGUAGCUAUGUACGGAAUGGAUAAGCGCUGAAAGCAUCUAAGCGCGAAGCCAACUUCAAGAUAAGAUUUCCCACCGUAAGGGUAAGACCCCAGGAAGACUACCUGGUUGAUAGGUCGAAGGUGUAAGUGCAGUAAUGUAUUUAGCUUAUCGAUACUAAUAGGUCGAGGACUUGACC
rnacentral:rRNA from 1 species